GAAAUGCGAUAAGUAAUGUGAAUUGCAGAAUUCAGUGAAUCAUCGAAUCUUUGAACGCACAUUGCGCCCGCCAGUAUUCUGGCGGGCAUGCCUGUCCGAGCGUCAUUUCAACCAUCAAGCCCCCGGGCUUGUGUUGGGGACCUGCGGCUGCCCGCAGGCCCUGAAAACCAGUGGCGGGCUCGCUGUCACACCGAGCGUAGUAGCAAUCACCUCGCUCAGGGCGUGCUGCGGUUUCCGGCCGUUAAACAGCCUUACAAAACCCAAGGUUGACCUCGGAUCAGGUAGGAAGACCCGCUGAACUUAAGC
rnacentral:misc_RNA from 1 species